rnacentral:rRNA from 1 species
UGGGGAAUUUUGGACAAUGGGGGCAACCCUGAUCCAGCAAUGCCGCGUGUGUGAAGAAGGCCUUCGGGUUGUAAAGCACUUUUGUCCGGAAAGAAAACCUCUUGGUUAAUACCUGAGGGGGAUGACGGUACCGGAAGAAUAAGCACCGGCUAACUACGUGCCAGCAGCCGCGGUAAUACGUAGGGUGCGAGCGUUAAUCGGAAUUACUGGGCGUAAAGCGUGCGCAGGCGGUCUGUUAAGACCGAUGUGAAAUCCCCGGGCUUAACCUGGGAACUGCAUUGGUGACUGGCAGGCUUUGAGUGUGGCAGAGGGAGGUAGAAUUCCACGUGUAGCAGUGAAAUGCGUAGAGAUGUGGAGGAAUACCGAUGGCGAAGGCAGCCUCCUGGGCCAACACUGACGCUCAUGCACGAAAGCGUGGGGAGCAAACA